CCUACGGGAGGCAGCAGUGGGGAAUAUUGCACAAUGGGCGCAAGCCUGAUGCAGCAACGCCGCGUGAGGGACGACGGCCUUCGGGUUGUAAACCUCUUUUAGUAGGGAAGAAGCGAAAGUGACGGUACCUGCAGAAAAAGCACCGGCUAACUACGUGCCAGCAGCCGCGGUAAUACGUAGGGUGCAAGCGUUAUCCGGAAUUAUUGGGCGUAAAGAGCUCGUAGGCGGUUUGUCACGUCUGCUGUGAAAACUGGAGGCUCAACCUCCAGCCUGCAGUGGGUACGGGCAGACUAGAGUGCGGUAGGGGAGAUUGGAAUUCCUGGUGUAGCGGUGGAAUGCGCAGAUAUCAGGAGGAACACCGAUGGCGAAGGCAGAUCUCUGGGCCGUAACUGACGCUGAGGAGCGAAAGCAUGGGGAGCGAACAGGAUUAGAUACCCUGGUAGUCCAUGCCGUAAACGUUGGGAACUAGAUGUAGGGACCAUUCCACGGUUUCUGUGUCGCAGCUACGACAUUAACGUUACCCGUCCGUCGGGAGGUACGGCCGCCGACGACGUAAACGUAACGAAACGGAAGUUAGUACGGCGUGAGACGUGCCGAACGGACGACGACGAGGGAGGUAGG
rnacentral:rRNA from 1 species